AUAACUGAUUUUGCUACUGUUAUGAAUUGUAAAUAUCUGUGUUUUUCAAUGGUCUUAGGCAGCCCCUCUGAAAGGGUCUUCAACCCAAUAGGCUCACGACCCACAGGUUGAGACAGGCAAGAUGCCAGUAUGGAGCCUGGUGCAGAGGUCUAAGAAACAGCUGAACAGGGUAGCCUGUGAGCAGGACAGCUGCUGGAGGAGGAGGAGGAGACAGGAAGGAAGUGUGUGCUAACCAGCCAUCAAACACAAGUUGUUUCACCAAGAGGAAGGUUCCAGUUACCCUUGAGUCUAUCUAACAUGGAAGAGGCAGGGUUGCCCAAGAGAUGUGGCCAGGAGCUGUGCAAGCAGAAAGGUUUUUGCUACUUUGCUGAGUUGGUUGAUUGCCUGGAAAGUGCUGGAGCACUUCAGAUGUGGCCAAGGCUUGCUUUUAAGAGAAGAGGCAACAGGUUCACUCCCUGUCAACUGGUUGCUUGAUCCACCGCUUCACCUGUGAUUAGCUGUAUUUAAUCCUGUGUACAAUACUCAAGCAGGAAGCUCUUGGAUUAAAGGUCACUGUUUCUGCCCCUGGGUGUGCAAGGCUAGCUGCUUUCUUCCGUGUAUUCUCUUUCCAUCUCACCUGUCACCUGGUGUUGCUCAGGCUGCUGUCAAAUUUCUGACUGCUGGGUCCUGGAAACCUGCCUGGGCAGUCUAGGAGUGAAGAAAUGAUAGAUACUGAAGAAAUGCCAGGCACACACGCAUGAAAGCUGGGAUCAGCUGUGCUGUGCUCGUUGGGUUUCUCUGCAUAGUCCUGGCUGUCCUGGAACUUGCUCUGUAGACAAGGCUGCCCUGGAACUCAGAGAUCCUUUGCCUCUGCCUCCGGAGUCUGAGACUAAAGGCGUGCACCACCACUGCCUGGUACCUCAUUCUUUAUAUCGUUCAUGUCAGCAUGACUUUGGUCACUUAGAAGAGCCUCGAUACAUGGUAGCACACACCUGUAGUCCCAUCCCUGCAGAGGCUGUGACCACAGGAGUUCAAGGCUAGUGUGUCUGUGCAGUGAAAGCAUUUCUCAGGAAACACACACUCCUGUGGAAAUACUGUGAUGAAGCCAGAAGCUGAAGAACCAGUAUGUGAAAGCAGAAGGUCUUGGAGCCUCGUCCCUGCCAGGUAUCUCCAAGGUAGAGUUUUUUAAGUGAGCUCAUUAAAUCUGUCAUGGAUUAGAGCCCUCUAGAUCACCAUUGCUUGUUAGGAUGUCAGACCUAGGACUGGGAUCACAGAUCGGCAGAACAACAGAGUCCUCUGCAGGCCUGAGGGCCACUGUGAAACUGGGAUGACUUCUAAGUUUACAACAUGGAAGUUGUGACACUGUAAAUUAAGGCUGUUAAGCCCUGAUUUAAUUCUCAAGUUGGUUAUUCAUCAUUUACCAGGACACCAGUGAUCUACGGAACGUCUUUCUUGAAGUUCCAGAACAGAGUCAUUUCAAAUAUUAAAUUUCUGAGGAAUCCUACAACAAAGAAGUUCAUCUGACUUUCUGAAAUAAGCAUUUCCCAAGCAUAUGACGUGAGUGCAAGCCUCGACCCAGAGAUUGAAAUCUACAAGAAACUAGUAUUUGAUUCGGAAUGCCUUUCUUCCAGACUGGUGAGGAAAGUACCUCAAGUUCCCUCUUUAAUGGAAUUCUCUCACCUACCCCAGGGUCACGCCCAACUUCUGGGAUACCUGUCUAUGCUCACGUUGGGCACACACAGGCACUGUUCAGAUGCCCCCAAGUCCCUGUCCAUCUGAGCCUGCCAGGUCUGAGGCCCUGGCUUGCCUCUUAGGAUCUACUCAAGUCAAAGGGCUCCUCUCGCUUUUUGUGGAAUAGUUGCCUCUCCCCAUCCAGGCCUUGCCGCCAGCUGUCCCCUCAGGCCUGUCUUACCCAUCUGGCCUGACCCCAAGAACACUUAGGUUGCAACCCUAGUCUAGUCUGUCUUCCCAUCCCCCUGGCGUUUGUCUUAAAGAUCAGCCCAAGGCUCCACUGAAUCCCAGGUAGACACUGCAUCCUCCAGCCCUGCCUCCCCCUCCUCUUCCCUGCCGUUUCCUUCUCCUCAAACUCUUUUUCCUGAAUUCUCCCGAGGACUUGGGGUUUGAGUAGCAGAAGCCAGAAGCAAGGGUCAUUUUGUUUUCCUGCCCUAGCAGAGACCUUCCCUAGCCAUGGACACUGGGCUUCAUCUACUUACAUGGAAGAAAGUUAAGAAAUGGAAAGAUGAGGUGGCCUGCUCACGUCUGAAAAUACCUGUCAUUCAUCAUACCAAGGGCACACACAGAGGCGGCCCGCACGUGCGCAAGGCAGAGGCGGCUUCUUUCCACCACCAGCUGCAGCCACGGGCGCAGAGCACACGGCUCUGAGGACGUCUUCUCGCUUCCCCCCCCCCGGAUCCACUUCCCCUG